rnacentral:rRNA from 1 species
GAUGAACGCUAGCGGCAGGCUUAAUACAUGCAAGUUGAGGGGCAGCAUGAUAUACGCGAGUAUAUUGAUGGCGACCGGCGGACGGGUGAGUAAUAGGUAGGAGACCUACCUCAUACAGGGGGAUAGCAUAGAGAAAUCUGUGGUAAUACCCCAUGAGGUUAUAUGAAUAGAGGCAUAUAAUCAAAGCAUAAGCGAUUAUGCGGUAUGAGAGGGGCCUACUGACCAUUAGCUAGUUGGUGAGGUAAGGGCUCACCAAGGCGAAGAUGGUUAGGGGUUUUGAGAGAGAGACCCCCCACAUUGGAACUGAGAGACGGUCCAGACUCCUACGGGAGGCAGCAGUAGGGAAUAUUGGGCAAUGGGCGAAAGCCUGACCCAGCCAUGCCGCGUGAAGGAAGACGGCCUUAUGGGUUGUAAACUUCUUUACUACGCGAAUAGAGGUUAGUACGAGAUACUAAUAGGAAGGUAGUGUACGUAAAAGGUAAACACCGACCGUAACUACCGUCGCCG